rnacentral:misc_RNA from 1 species
GAUGAGUACAGAAUACACAAAACACAUGCGUUCGCUCGAUAAUCGCGCAGUCAGUCAAUUCAGUCCAGUUUCGUUCUCACUGGCAGUAUUUUCCAUUUAUCGUUGCAGUGGUCGGAAAAAUUGAUUUCAAAAUAUUUGCCAUACAAGUGAGUACAACAAAACAUGUUACUAUUCUCUCUGACGGAUCAAAAAUUAUGCUGUCCUAAACGCCAGAUAACAAACUCAAGCAUUGCAAAAACAGCUGCAACAACAAAACCAACAACUAGCUCACUCUUCGUCAGCUUAUAACAAGAAGUUUUCGUUUUCGUGCAAUUUUAAGAAAAUCAACGGCAGCAGCAACAACAACAGCAGUAGUAGUCGCAGCGACAACCAAAAAAAUCGCUAAACUUUCUUAAAAUCCUCGAAAAACAUAAAAAAAUAUAACAAGGAGACUAGCAGCCAUAAGAACAACUGCUAAAAGCCAUAAAAACAAAUUAAAAAGGCGCCAUUUCUCAGCUACACAAAUCGUUUAAAGCACCAACACGCUUCUAAGAAAAUAACGAAACCAAAAAUUAUAAAGAAUUUAAAUUUAUAAAUAAGCUUUUUCACACACACACCGGAAGAUUAUUAUUAAAUUGUAGUUGCUUUAAGUUUUUUUUUCAUUUUCGCAGUCAUCACUCCAGAGCUUAGUUCGUGCGGCAUUGCUCGAUUUUAGGCGUAGUUAGUUUAGCUGAAACUAAACUAGCUGCCAAGUGAAGAAGUACUGUAACCAAGAGAAAAGAAAAAAAAAAAAGUUGAACUUUCAGCUUGAAAGCUAUCGCGAACGCCGCUUUGAAUUUCUUCUAAAUUUCAUAUUUUCGUAAUGAAAAUGGCAAACAUGAAAUUUAAGCGCAAAUAUGGCGGUUUAAAUAUUUGAAAAAUACUAAUUGUAUAUUUUUCGAAUAUUUUAUUUCGUAGCAUUUUAUAAGUUUAUAAAUAAUACUACUAAAAAUUCAGUCCCUUGUCUAACUAAAUUGUCUGUGUCUGUCUGUUUGUAUCCUCCCUCCGUGUAAAUCGCGCCUCCCUAAAAUUAGUAAUAUAACAUACAAAAUACAUACAUACUCAUGCUAUACACACGUACUUAUACAUUUGAAAUAAAAAUUUAAUUACCGUUAAGUGUUACAGCAUUACUAAGUGAUUUUCAUAAAUUUAUACAUAAAAAGAAUUUGUAAUUCAACAGCAAGAAAUUUAAUUUAUUGCAGCAUUUAAUUCUAGCAGACACUUAAAGGCAUUAGCAAUUUUUUUUAGAAAUUUUGUAUACAUAUUUCCAAUUUUUUCUCAAACUAGUAGAAGCAUACUCUUGCGUAGGUUUCUUUAAAAUUUUAAGCAUAAACAAGUAGUUUCUUUUCCAAAUUUGUUUUUUUUUAUUAAUUUUAAUACUGCUGAUUAAAAAAUAUUUAAAUUAAUCACCCAAAAAAUAAUUAUAACUCGAAAGUAAAUCAAUUGCAUAAAACGUACUUAAAAAACUUGCAACAUGGAUGCAUUAUCGCCCGAUUUGCUAUGGAUGGUCAUACUCGGCUUUCUGAUUGCAUUCGUAUUGGCUUUUGGUAUUGGCGCGAAUGAUGUGGCAAACUCUUUUGGCACGAGUGUUGGCUCGGGUGUGUUGACCAUACGGCAGGCCUGUGUUUUGGCGACGAUAUGUGAAAUUUCGGGUGCAGUUUUGAUUGGCUACAAAGUCUCGGACACCAUGCGCAAAGGCAUUCUAGAGGUUGGCCUUUACGAAGGCUCCGAGGAUGAACUUAUGUUGGGCUGUGUCGCUGCUCUGGCUAGUAGCGCCAUCUGGUUGUUGGUUGCCACAUUCCUCAAGUUACCCAUUUCGGGUACACACAGCAUCGUUGGUUCGACCAUUGGUUUUUCGUUGGUUGCGCGUGGUACACAAGGUCUGAAAUGGUCUACAUUGGGCACGAUUGUGGGUUCGUGGUUUAUCUCGCCAGUUAUGAGCGGUUUGGUGAGCAUCUUGCUUUUCUUGGCUAUUCGAAAAUUUAUUUUGCGCGCGAGCGAUCCGCUGAAAGCGGGAUUUCGGUCACUACCAAUUUUCUACGGUGUAACAUUCUUCAUUAACGUCAUUAGUGUGGUGUUGGAUGGACCGAAGUUGCUUUAUAUGGAUAACAUACCCACCUGGAUUGCUAUUUGUUCGAGCAUUGCACUCGGCUUAAUAGUUGCACUUCUCACCCAACUUAUUGUUGUACCAAUACAAAAACGUAAAAUCGCAAAACAAUUACGUGCUCAAAAUCCCGUUAAAUUCAAUUUCGAGGACUCAGUUGAAUCCUCACCGUCCGGUAGCCCUAAGAAAAACCGCCGCCCAUUAUCACUCGUUAGUGAUGGAAAACAAUUGCCUGCAAUUGCCGAAAUCACCGAACUCGUCUCAUUGACCGACAAUUCACCGAAGACCUUCAAAUUGGCACCAUAUGGACUAAAUAAAAAUGGGCAUGUUACCACCCCAAAUAACGGUUAUACUGGCGAUGGUUAUAAGAUUAAUCCGGAAAUUAUAAAGAAAGCUGAGGAUUUGCUGGGCAAAGCCAGUUUGGAUAAUACGGAUUUGACUAUAACGAGCUUAAAUUUCAUUGAUGAGCAAUAUCAGAAUGGUAAUGGUAUAGGUGCAUUUCAGUACGGCAAUAAAAACAACAAUACGACUGCAUUGUUAUCGAAUGGUCGUGACAAAGGUAGUCAGCUGCAGGAUUACUUUGAGAAGGGCGUAAAGUCGCCAUUAUUGGAUGCGAAGAGCAUUGAGCAUUCACACGAGCUUCCACAACAACUCCAACAGCUCGAUAGCACGCAGUCGCCAAAGAGUGCUGCAAAUAAUAAUAUUACACUAACUGCCAUGGACACAACAACAAAUACCACCAAGCCCGCAAUCAUUCCCGCACCUACACCCUGUUCCAACGCAAUACCCGCUGCCGGAGACGCAAACAAAUCAAUUACUGACGUUGUAGUCACAAAAGCCACAACAACAACUGCGGAGUCAACGGCAGCAUCCACAACUGCCAAGAAGGAUUUGAAAGUGGUUGAGAGUGGCAGCAGCUUGGAAAUGAUGAUUUCCUCUACAUUGUCGCCGAAUUCGAGUAAGGUUCCGUUGAUUGAGAGCAAGGAGCUAAUACACGAUUUUAAGCAGUCAGAUGGUGCACCAACGCACAAUGACGAGGAAUCGGAGGAGGUGUCGAUGCUGUUUUCAUUUUUACAAAUUCUAACAGCAACAUUUGGCAGCUUCGCGCAUGGCGGUAAUGAUGUAAGCAACGCUAUUGGACCUCUCAUUGCUUUGUACAUGAUUUACAGAGAAGGUUCUGUGAUGCAGAAGGCCGAAAGUCCUAUUUAUAUUUUGAUCUACGGAGGUAUUGGCAUCUCAGUGGGUCUAUGGCUGUGGGGACGACGGGUCAUCGAGACAAUCGGCAAUGAUUUGACAAAGAUCACCUCAUCAACCGGCUUCACCAUCGAAGUCGGCGCCGCCAUCACAGUACUUCUGGCCAGUAAAAUUGGGUUACCCAUUUCGACGACACAUUGCAAAGUGGGAUCGGUGGUGUUUGUGGGACACGUAAGUGGCAAAGGGCAUAGGCCAGCUGCUAAUGAUGCGACUGCAAAGUCAGGACUCUCCAAAGAAGCUUCAAUGGAAGGUGGUGUCGUAACAUCAUCAACUGCUACAACACCAACAACAAAUGUGAAUGAAAUUUGCAGUAAAAUGGGGGCGACGGUGUCAUCCUCGACCAGCGCGAAUGCUAUAGCCAAUGGCAGCGGUGGUGUGGAAGUGAUCGCCGGUGGUGAUGGAGGUGUUACUGGGGUAGUUGGCACUGCUGCGAACGCUGCUGUUGGUGCUGUCGAUUGGCAUUUGUUUCGAAAUAUUGCCUAUGCUUGGAUUGUCACCGUGCCGGUAACGGCGCUGCUCUCAGCUGGUAUUAUGUUUUUGAUGUGCAGCCUAGUUUUGGCCAAAUAGAAGCGGAGCGUAGCAGUUGGUGGAAAAAUGAAGCGAUUUAUUGCAAAGUAAAAAAAUUACAAAAAAAAGUGAAUUAAAGGAAGAGAAGCGAAAGCAGUUACAAUUAUUAAGUAUUCAACAAACUUACUAACCACACUUAAGACCAAAUUUCAUAGCCAACGAUUACCAAAGAAUCAGUAAAUUACUCUUCCAAAGAUUUUAUAUAAUUACAGAUUGAAAAUUAAAGGAAAAACAUGGUAUGGUGAAUUCAAUGAAAAUGUUAUGAAACAAAUCAUUCGUAGGAAAUAAAACAUUUUCCACACUAAAAGCAAUUAUGUUAUAAGAUCGAAAAAACAUACAGUUACACACACAAAAUCCCAAUUAUUUCUGUUAUUUCGAUACAGUACCGAAAAAAGAACAAAUAUACUUAUUAGUAAAUAAAAUAAAGGAUAUUAAAA